GGCGUCCGGGUGAGUAACACGUGGGUAAUCUGCCUUCGGGUGGGGAAUAACCCAGGGAAACUUGGGCUAAUACCGCAUAAUGCAGCGGCACCUAAUGGUGAUUAGUUGUUAAAGCGGGGGAUCGCAAGACCUCGCGCCUGAAGAGGAGCCUGCGGCAGAUUAGCUAGUUGGUGAGGUAAUGGCUCACCAAGGCAUCGAUCUGUAGCUGGUCUGAGAGGACGGCCAGCCACACUGGCACUGACACACGGGCCAGACUCCUACGGGAGGCAGCAGUGGGGAAUUUUGGGCAAUGGGCGCAAGCCUGACCCAGCAACGCCGCGUGAGGGAGGAAAUCCUUCGGGAUGUAAACCUCACAAGCAAGGGAAGAGCGCUUUCGGUCAAUAAUCGAAAGUUCGACGGUACCUUGCGUAAGCCCACGGUAACUACGUGCCA
rnacentral:rRNA from 1 species